GAUAAGGUUAAGUGAAUAAGGGCGCACGGUGGAUGCCUUGGCACUAGGAGCCGAUGAAGGACGGGACUAACACCGAUAUGCUUUGGGGAGCUGUACGUAAGCUAUGAUCCAGAGAUUUCCGAAUGGGGGAACCCAGCAUCUUUAAUAGGAUGUUACGAUUGUGUGAAUACAUAGCACAUUCGAGGUAGACGCAGAGAACUGAAACAUCUAAGUACCUGCAGGAAGAGAAAGAAAAUUCGAUUCCCUGAGUAGCGGCGAGCGAAACGGGAAAAGCCCAAACCAGCAA
rnacentral:rRNA from 1 species